rnacentral:tRNA from 1 species
UCUCUAGUGGCUCAGAUGCUAAAGAAUCUGCCUACAAUGCGGGAGAUCCAGGUUCGAUCCCUGGUUUGGGAA